AACGAACGCUGGCGGCAUGCCUAACACAUGCAAGUCGAACGAGACCUUCGGGUCUAGUGGCGCACGGGUGCGUAACGCGUGGGAACCUGCCCUUAGGUUCGGAAUAACUCCCCGAAAGGGGUGCUAAUACCGGAUAAUGUCUUCGGACCAAAGAUUUAUCGCCUUUGGAUGGGCCCGCGUGGGAUUAGCUAGUUGGUAGGGUAAAAGCCUACCAAGGCGACGAUCCAUAGCUGGUCUGAGAGGAUGAUCAGCCACACUGGGACUGAGACACGGCCCAGACUCCUACGGGAGGCAGCAGUGGGGAAUAUUGGACAAUGGGCGAAGGCCUGAUCCAGCAAUGCCGGGUGAGUGAUGAAGGCCUUAGGGUUGUAAAGCUCUUUUACCCGGGAUGAUAAUGACAGUACCGGGAGAAUAAGCUCCGGCUAACUCCGUG
rnacentral:rRNA from 1 species